rnacentral:misc_RNA from 1 species
UAUUCAUGAUGUGCUCUUCAUACCUUGUUAUUGAGUGCGGCUCAAAUGCAAUAAGAGAGUUCCAUUGUAACAAAUUGUUAUGAUCUAUAAGGUGAGAAGCAAAUUGUUAAGAUCUAUGAGGUGAGAAGAUAAGGCAAUAUUUUACACUGGCCAAAUCUUGAACCAAAAAUGACAUUUCUCUGCCAUUCACUAUAUUUCUGCUCAACCUCCUAAUACAUCCCAUACUAUCAUGCACAAACACCCUUUAAUCAACAUAGUUUGUUAUCAUCAAUAGUAACUUACAAUAUACCAGCUCACACAUGGAAAUAAAAGCAUGAAGAUAGUUGAACAUGUUUUCGUGAGGGUCUAUCUGCAUGAGAACAAGACAACAUACAUCAAUGAUAACAGAGAAAACAUGGAAGAUUUGAGCAAAAUACUUGUAUCAAAGUGGCGAAGCUGUAAUUCUCUGUUUUGAUAUUACAUUGGCAUGAGCUGUUAUUAGGUACUUGUCUAUUUGAUGGUCAAUCAUCAUGCUCCUCUUCACCUUCAGAAUCUGAUCGAACAUCUUUGCUGACUCGGCCUCUUGCCUUGAUUUGUUCCACAACCAUGCCAACCAUCAAAGACCACCAAUAUACAUUGAAUACGACCAAGGAGAAUAGAAGUGUGUUAAAGAGAUAAUAAUAUAGAGGUCCAUCCACCAUGUGCUUCUCCAUGUCCAAGGUCAAAAGGACUUCAUAGCUUGUACUCCACAGUACCCAGAAAGGAAAGUAGAUGAUGCGAAGUAUUGUCCAAGAGAGAACAAACCCAAGGAAAAAAAUGCUAGAAAUCCAUUCAUAGCCACUAUAUCUGGAUAUCUUUGCAAUUUCCAUGAAUCCAUCGCUUGCAUCAUGCAAGGCUAAAAUAAUUGAACCAACACGAGCAAAUCUGUGGUAGUCAGCACAUUCUCAAGUUACUCAGAAAGCAUCUUAAAUAUAAUUAGAUCAGAAUAGCAGAUGCCAUAUCAUGCUCUUCCUAAGCAUGAAAGUAUGAGAGGUAUUCUACGUAAUAAUUUGUAGCAAAUAACUGAAUUUUUUACAUAAAUAUUUUUAUAUGCAUGCAAAUGUUUGUGCGCAUGCAUAUGCUGUGAAGCAUCCCCAGAUAUAUUUUCUACUCUCUUUUCUUUGGGAUUUUUUAGCUAUUUAUUUAUUGGCUACUAAUAAGUGGAAAAACCAAUUCUUCCUAGCACUGUACAAAAUGGAAACUAAACUUGAAGCCUCAGCCAUUUCCAAACCUAAAUAUGUAAGACAUCACAAUGAGAAUGAUCGAUGCCACAUGAUGAGCCAUUGAAAUCAAAAAGUCUGAACGUCUUGUUUCCCAGAAAACCAAAGCAAAUAUGGAGUACGUGUAGAAUCCAGCAACAUACAUGUAAAGUCCCUUCAAUUUCAAUCUGACCACCAUGAGAAUAGCUAGUCAAUGAAAGCUGAACAAAUGUGCACAUUUAUAUAUCUAACAGCAUGAAAGAAAAAUUGAACAUUAAAUUAUCUUAAUACGUGUUUGAUGAAUUGAUGAACUCACUUAAGUUUCUGAUCAGGCCAAAUUUGAUCUGCAGGUCCCACCCAAAAAUACUUAGUAUUAGUGAACCAGGGCUCACGAUAUGAGACAUAAAGAGCAAAAAGCUCUGCAGAAAGAAAAUAAACAUAUUUCCAAGCUGACUCCUUGAAUUUAUUAAUUUUCUUCCUAUUUGCACGUUUCCCAACAUCCACCGAUGCAUAUGAGUUCCCAAAAAUCAAUCUUUUGGCUAAACUCUCAAAAAUGUACUUGUCAAGGAAAAGCCUAACAGAAAGAAAGAAGAGGGCGAAGAAGGGAACGAACGUGAAGUCACUGGCAACUGGGUAUGACUCAGACUCCCAAUUGAUAAAACCAUCGGUUCCUAAAAGACCCAUUAGGUUCUCUUUGAAGGAAUUCUUCAAAGAUAAGAGAAAUUGAGAAAGAAUCAAAGAAAUGGGAAAUUGCUGAUAGGAAAAUUACACAGGUCAUCG